rnacentral:lncRNA from 1 species
GUGCUGCAUCGUUUAUAGCACCUGAGUACAGAGGAAAUGACUCAUCAUCGUUCAUCGAAGAUGGAGCACUGAGAAGUGUGAGGGACAGAUCUGGUGCUAGUGGUCCAGAUAAUGUAUUAGGACACACCAACAAUGAUCUGCUUCAAGGAAACUAUGUCGGCCAAGCCUGUCAAACAACAAUGAUCUGCUUCAAGUAAACUAUGUCGGCCAAGCCUGUCAAUUUCCUGGAAAUUAUUGGUCAGGCUUGCAGUUCAACAGCAGCACUAGCGAGACUGAAUCUUGGGCCUGGAAUCGUAGUACUCGUCUAC